rnacentral:lncRNA from 1 species
UGCAGAAUAUGCCCUAUUUAAAAAAUAAAUAAAGGAUUUCUCCAGAUUCCUCCAUUUCCUGGUGGCCUCCUAGUUACCAUGCCAGAGGGUCAGCCAUUCACCAGUUCCUUUGGCUGGUUUCCAGUAAAAUUCUUACCUCCCUUACUGCCUUACAGCCUACGAUCCUCUGCAGCCUUGAAAAUUAUGAUCCCCUCAUUGGAUCUAUCAUUUGUGCUGCUUGUAACAAAAACUUUACAAAAAUAGAGAUAAAAUAUAAAAAUGUAUAAUAAAUCUGGUCUUUAAACCCUGUUCGAAGCACAGAUCUCCCAAAAAGCCUGAGUGAUGGUAUGUUCUUUUGUUAUUCAUAAGAAGUCCCUUUUGAG